UUUAACUGAGCGUUCAGUUACUUGACGUAGACCCGAAACCGGGCGACCUACCCAUGAGCAGGAUGAAGCGAAAGUAAAAUUUCGUGGAGGUCCGAACCCACGAGCGUUGAAAAGCUCGGGGAUGACUUGUGGGUAGCGGUGAAAUUCCAAUCGAGCCCGGAGAUAGCUGGUUCUCCCCGAAAUAGCUUUAGGGCUAGCCUCAAGGUGAGAGAUACGGAGGUAGAGCACUGAAUGUCCUAGGGGGUAUUGCACCUACCGAAGACUAUCAAACUCCGAAUGCCGUCAUCUUAUACUUGGGAGUCAGACUGUGGGUGAUAAGAUUCAUAGUCGAAAGGGCAACAGCCCAGAUCGUCAGCUAAGGUCCCUAAAUGUAAGUUAAGUGGUAAAGGAUGUGGGAUUGCACAGACAACCAGGAUGUUGGCUUAGAAGCAGCCACUCAUUCAAAGAGUGCGUAAUAGCUCACUGGUCGAGUGAUCCUGCGCCGAAGAUUUCCGGGGCUAAAACUUACUACCGAAGCUACGGCAUCAGUAAUGAUGGGUAGGGGAGCUUCCCAUACGGGUUGAAGCAUGACCGUAAGGACAUGUGGACAGUAUGGGAGUGAGAAUGUUGGCAUGAGUAGCGAGAUGUGGGUGAGAAUCCCACAGGCCGUAAACCCAAGGUUUCCAGGGGAAGGUUCGUCCGCCCUGGGUUAGUCGGGACCUAAGCUGAGGCCGAAAGGCGUAGGUGAUGGACAACAGGUUGAUAUUCCUGUACUACCGAUAACCGUUUGAGAGAAGGGAUGACACAGUAGGAUAAGCUAAGCACACUGUUGGUUAUGUGUGCCCAAGCAUUGAGGCAGUCAAAGUAGGCAAAUCCGCUUUGAUAAUGCUGGGAUGUGAUGGGGAGCGAAAUUUAGUAGCGAAGUAGCUGAUUUCACACUGUCAAGAAAAGUCUCUAUCGAGGUUAAAGGUACCCGUACCGCAAACCGACACAGGUGGGUGAGGAGAGUAUCCUAAGGCCAGCGAGAGAACUGUUGUUAAGGAACUCGGCAAAAUGACCCCGUAACUUAGGGAUAAGGGGUGCCACCAUCAGGUGGCCGCAGAGAAUAGGCCCAAGCGACUGUUUACCAAAAACAUAGGUUUCUGCUAAGUCGCAAGACGAUGUAUAGGAGCUGACGCCUGCCCGGUGCUGGAAGGUUAAGGGGAUCUGUUAGAGCAAUCGAAGCAGUGAACUUAAGCCCCAGUAAACGGCGGCCGUAACUAUAACGGUCCUAAGGUAGCGAAAUUCCUUGUCGGGUAAGUUCCGACCCGCACGAAAGGCGUAACGAUUUGGGCACUGUCUCAACAACAGACUCGGUGAAAUUG
rnacentral:rRNA from 1 species